rnacentral:rRNA from 1 species
AGUAGUGAUCCUGGCUCAGAUUGAACGCUGGCGGCAUGCCUUACACAUGCAAGUCGAACGGCAGCACGGGGGCAACCCUGGUGGCGAGUGGCGAACGGGUGAGUAAUACAUCGGAACGUGUCCUGUAGUGGGGGAUAGCCCGGCGAAAGCCGGAUUAAUACCGCAUACGCUCUACGGAGGAAAGGGGGGGAUCUUAGGACCUCUCGCUACAGGGGCGGCCGAUGGCAGAUUAGCUAGUUGGUGGGGUAAAGGCCUACCAAGGCGACGAUCUGUAGCUGGUCUGAGAGGACGACCAGCCACACUGGGACUGAGACACGGCCCAGACUCCUACGGGAGGCAGCAGUGGGGAAUUUUGGACAAUGGGCGCAAGCCUGAUCCAGCAAUGCCGCGUGUGUGAAGAAGGCCUUCGGGUUGUAAAGCACUUUUGUCCGGAAAGAAAACUCUGGGUUAAUACCCCGGGGGGAUGACGGUACCGGAAGAAUAAGCACCG